GGGAACAGAAGGUGUCCUUCUGUUCCUUCUCCUGCUUCGCAGCGACGCACCUGUCCAGCGAAGCCGGAGGAGGAACAGAAGGGUCUCCUUCUGUUCCU